rnacentral:rRNA from 1 species
GAUGAACGCUGGCGGCGUGCUUAAUACACGCAAGUCGAGCGAAUGGAUUAAGAGCUUGCUCUUAUGAAGUUAGCGGCGGACGGGUGAGUAACACGUGGGUAACCUGCCCAUAAGACUGGGAUAACUCCGGGAAACCGGGGCUAAUACCGGAUAACAUUUUGAACCGCAUGGUUCGAAAUUGAAAGGCGGCUUCGGCUGUCACUUAUUGAUGGACCCGCGUCGCAUUAGCUAGUUGGUGAGGUAACGGCUCACCAAGGCAACGAUGCGUAGCCGACCUGAGAGGGUGAUCGGCCACACUGGGACUGAGACACGGCCCAGACUCCUACGGGAGGCAGCAGUAGGGAAUCUUCCGCAAUGGACGAAAGUCUGACGGAGCAACGCCGCGUGAGUGAUGAAGGCUUUCGGGUCGUAAAACUCUGUUGUUAGGGAAGAACAAGUGCUAGUUGAAUAAGCUGGCACCUUGACGGUACCUAACCAGAAAGCCACGGCUAACUACGUGCCAGCCGCCGCUGUAA